AUGGCGCUUCACCAAGGCAGGACUCCUGAGCCUGCAUUUUAUCCGGUGAGGAUGACUGACAGCCUUAUCUUGUGAUUUUCUAGCUGCUGAGGAUUUUCCUGUGCUGGGCAUCCUGGGCAGCCCUGCUGGGGCUGGCAGGCUGUGCUGGAGGAGGGGAAGGGAAGCCUGGGAGGCUGGUGUGAUGCCGUGCCCUGUGGGUUAUCCUUCACAAACUUGUAAACAGCUCUCGGAUUUGAUGUAGAAAUGGGAGAGGGAGGAACUCCUGUUACCAUUGUGUCAGAUGCAGCAAGGCGUCUUCUGGUCUCUUUAGAAGUGUUAAAAGCAUCUCUUAGCAUCUCUCCUGUGACUUCAGUUUGUUAAGGUGGUAUCAUCUCCUCCUCUGAAAAACAGAGCCAGGUCCACAGCUGGCAGAGGGACACAUCCAAAGGAGCCUGGUUUCAAAGGGAAGAGCUGCCCAAGGUUCGGGGAAGGCCCAUAGCAAAGGCUGAGCCAACUGGUCCCACCGAUGGAGGUGCGUCUGGUGCGCAGGUGUUGCCGAGUUGUGCACAGGAACAUCCCUGGCUUUAACUAGCCAGAUUUUCCAUCUGCAGAUAUGCGAAGAGCAAGCGUUUUGGCAUUCAGAGGCGCGGCUGCCCAUGGUCAGGAGUUAUCCCUCAACUCCCGACCUGCAGGGUGGCACGGCACGGGGACGUUGUUUGCAGGGGCUGGGGCGGCAGGACAGCACCGUCACCCUGCGUCCCUGAGCCAUCCCGGGCCAGGCUUCUCCCGCUGCCCUGUGCCCACUUUCUUCCUUAAGCGAUCGCUGCUUCACCCGGUUUCUAGCACUCACCGUCAUGAAACACAGAUA